rnacentral:rRNA from 1 species
GCAAGUCGAGCGCUACCUUCGGGUGGAGCGGCGGACGGGUUAGUAACGCGUGGGAAUAUACCCAGAUCUAAGGAAUAGCCUCGGGAAACUGAGAGUAAUACCAUAUAAGCCCUUCGGGGGAAAGAUUUAUCGGGAAAGGAUUGGCCCGCGUUAGAUUAGAUAGUUGGUGGGGUAAUGGCCUACCAAGUCUACGAUCUAUAGCUGGUUUGAGAGGAUGAUC